rnacentral:rRNA from 1 species
UACGAAGGGUGCAAACGUUGCUCGGAAUUAUUGGGCGUAAAGCGCACGUAGGCGGCUUGGCAAGUCGGAUGUGAAAUCCCUCGGCUCAACCAAGGAAGUGCAUCCGAAACUGCUGAGCUUGAGUACUUAAGAGGAUCGCGGAAUUCCCGGUGUAGAGGUGAAAUUCGUAGAUAUCGGGAGGAGCACCAGUGGCGAAGGCGGCGAUCUGGGAAGAUACUGACGCUGAGGUGCGAAAGCGUGGGGAGCAAACAGG